GACGAACGCUGGCGGCAUGCCUAACACAUGCAAGUCGAACGGAGAAUCGCUUCGGUGAUUCUUAGUGGCGAACGGGUGAGUAACGCGUAGGCAACCUGCCCUUUGGAUGGGGACAACAUUCCGAAAGGAGUGCUAAUACCGAAUGUGACGAUUUUACCGCAUGGUUUAAUCGUGAAAGAUGGCCUCUACAUGUAAGCUAUCGCCAAAGGAUGGGCCUGCGUCUGAUUAGCUAGUUGGUGGGGUAACGGCUCACCAAGGCGACGAUCAGUAGCCGGUCUGAGAGGAUGAACGGCCACAUUUGGGACUGAGACACGGCCCAGACUCCUAC
rnacentral:rRNA from 1 species